GGCGUCUUGAUCGAGUGGUCUAUGGUAGCGGUCUUGAAAACCGCCGGCUCGCAAGGGUCCUAGGGUUCGAAUCCCUAAGGCGCCUCCA
rnacentral:tRNA from 1 species